rnacentral:rRNA from 1 species
CACGCAGUAAACGAUGAAUACUAGUUGUUUGCGAUAUACAGUAAGUAACACAGCGAAAGCGUUAAGUAUUCCACCUGGGGAGUACGUUCGCAAGAAUGAAACUCAAAGGAAUUGACGGGGGCCCGCACAAGCGGAGGAACAUGUGGUUUAAUUCGAUGAUACGCGAGGAACCUUACCCGGGCUUGAAAUGCAGAGGAAUGAUGUGGAAACAUGUCCGCCAGCAAUGGUCUCUGUGUAGGUGC